AACGAACGCUGGCGGCAUGCCUAACACAUGCAAGUCGAACGAGACCUUCGGGUCUAGUGGCGCACGGGUGCGUAACGCGUGGGAACCUGCCCUUAGGUUCGGAAUAACUCCCCGAAAGGGGUGCUAAUACCGGAUAGUGUCUUCGGACCAAAGAUUUAUCGCCUUUGGAUGGGCCCGCGUUGGAUUAGCUAGUUGGUAGGGUAAAAGCCUACCAAGGCGACGAUCCAUAGCUGGUCUGAGAGGAUGAUCAGCCACACUGGGACUGAGACACGGCCCAGACUCCUACGGGAGGCAGCAGUGGGAAAUAUUGGACAAUGGGCGAAAGCCUGAUCCAGCAAUGCCGCGUGAGUGAUGAAGGCCUUAGGGUUGUAAAGCUCUUUUACCCGGGAUGAUAAUGACAGUACCGGGAGAAUAAGCUCCGGCUAACUCCGUG
rnacentral:rRNA from 1 species